rnacentral:rRNA from 1 species
GAACUUAUUGUAGGUCGGUUGAAAGGUCGGUUCAGUAAAAUGAAUUGGCUGGAAGACCUUCCUAUGUUUUUACUACAAACGCUUCAGUUAUAGAAUGUCUUUUACCGCGUAUAACGCAUCUAUAUACAACUUUCAGCAACGGAUCUCUUGGCUCUCGCAUCGAUGAAGAACGCAGCGAAAUGCGAUAAGUAAUGUGAAUUGCAGGAUUCAGUGAAUCAUCGAAUCUUUGAACGCACCUUGCGCUCCCUGGUAUUCCGGGGAGCAUGCCUGUUUGAGUAUCAUGGAAUUCUCAACCUUCAAAACUUCUUUGUUGCGAAGGCUUGGACUUGGAGGUCGUGUCGGCGUCGCUGUCGACUCCUCUGAAAUGCAUUAGCGUGAAUCUUACGGAUCGCCUUCGGUGUGAUAAUUUCUGCGCCGCGGCCGUGAAGUAUAAUAGUGUUCGUGCUUACAACUGUCUGCAAAGACAAUUCUUCUUGACAAUCUGACCUCAAAUCAGGUAGGACUACCCGCUGAACUUAAGCAUAUCAAUAAGCGGAGGAAAAGAAACUAACAAGGAUUCCCCUAGUAACUGCGAGUGAAGCGGGAAAAGCUCAAAUUUAAAAUCUGGCAGCCUUCGGUUGUCCGAGUUGUAGUCUGGAGAAGCGUCUUCCGUGC